rnacentral:lncRNA from 1 species
AAGUGGAAAAAUGAGAAGGGUUUAGAGGAGAAUGGGAUAAUUGUAUGGACAAGUCAUUCCUCAUAAUCCUCAAAGGAGAUGUGAUAUGAGAAUGUUAGGGUGAACACAAGAUACACAAAGGGUGCCCCAGCUUGAUGUUAUGGAAAAUGAGCCGGGGUUUGGAUUCAUGAAAGUUAGGGUGAGAAAAUUUCAAAUGAGAUUUGCAAAGUUGCCCCAGUCUUGAGGUUAUGGAUUGAUGAAAAACUUGUGUGAGACUCACAAAGCCGUCCAAUUUUUUUGUUUGCCUUUUUCUUUGUUUAUUGUGGUAUGGGUUGAUGAAAAACUCGAGUGAGACUCACAAAGUUGUCUUGGUUUUUUUUCUUUGGCAAGGGGUUCCAUUUGGAAGAGGUAUUGGACAUGAAAA